UACGAAGGGGGCUAGCGUUGCUCGGAAUCACUGGGCGUAAAGCGCACGUAGGCGGAUUGUUAAGUCAGGGGUGAAAUCCUGGAGCUCAACUCCAGAACUGCCUUUGAUACUGGCGAUCUCGAGUCCGGGAGAGGUGAGUGGAACUGCGAGUGUAGAGGUGAAAUUCGUAGAUAUUCGCAAGAACACCAGUGGCGAAGGCGGCUCACUGGCCCGGUACUGACGCUGAGGUGCGAAAUCGUGGGGAGCAAACAGG
rnacentral:rRNA from 1 species